rnacentral:rRNA from 1 species
UAGUUUUUUUAGAAAUAAAUUUAAUUUACAAAUUUUUAAUUUUUAAUUUAUUUUUUUUAAUUUAAAAAUUUAUUAAUUUGAAUAUUUUAAGGGAUAAGCUUUAAAAUAAAAUAUUAAAAAUCAUUGAAUAAUUUAUUUAAAAUGUAUGCAUAGAAUUAGCAAUCAUUUAUAAGUUUGUUAUAAAUUAUUUUAUAAUUUUAUAUUAUUUAAUUUUAUUUUCAUUGAAUUUAUAAAAAUUUUUUUAUUAAUUUUAAAAUAAAAAGUAAUAAUGAUCAAAUUAGUAUAUUUAAUUAUAUUGUUAAAAUAUUUUAUAUUGAGAAGUUUAUAUAAAGAACUCGGCAAAUUUUAUUUAUACUCGCCUGUUAACAAAAACAUGUCUUUUUGAAUUAAAUUUAAAGUCUGACCUGCCCACUGAAUAAUUUUAAAUGGCCGCAGUAUUUUGACUGUGCAAAGGUAGCAUAAUCAUUAGUCUUUUAAUUGGAGGCUGGUAUGAACGGUUGGACGAAGUAUAAGCUGUUUCAUAUAAAUUUAUAAUAGAAUUUUAUAUUUUAGUUAAAAAGCUAAAAUUUUAUUAAAAGACGAGAAGACCCUAUAAAUCUUUAUAUUUAAUAUAAACUAAAUUUUUUUGAUUUAUUUUAUUUUUUUUAUAUUAAUUAUUUUGUUGGGGUGAUAUUAAAAUUUAAUGAACUUUUAAUUUUUUAAAUCAUUAAUUUAUGAAUUAUUGAUCCAUUAAUAUUGAUUAUAAGAUUAAGUUACUUUAGGGAUAACAGCGUAAUUUUUUUUGAGAGUUCAUAUCGACAAAAAAGUUUGCGACCUCGAUGUUGGAUUAAGGUAUAAUUUUGGGUGUAGCCGUUCAAAAAUUAAGUCUGUUCGACUUUUA